rnacentral:snoRNA from 1 species
ACGCAUCUAUUUGACAAACCUGGAGCAGUUACUGCCUGCUGCUACAGUUCCAGCAUAGAUGCAAGAAAAAAGGGUCCUUGCACUUUCUUUCUGUCUGACUAUGGCAGCCAAGAGUGAAUGCGGGAAUACAGUU